rnacentral:rRNA from 1 species
GACCGAUAGUGAACCAGUACCGUGAGGGAAAGGUGAAAAGCACCCCGGAAGGGGAGUGAAACAGUUCCUGAAACCGUGUGCCUACAAGUAGUUAGAGCCCGUUAAUGGGUGAUAGCGUGCCUUUUGUAGAAUGAACCGGCGAGUUACGAUUUGUUGCAAGGUUAAGCGGAAAAGCGGAGCCGUAGCGAAAGCGAGUCUGAAUAGGGCGCAUAAGUAACAGGUCGUAGACC